rnacentral:rRNA from 1 species
UGGAGAGUUUGAUCCUGGCUCAGGAUGAACGCUGGCGGCGUGCCUAAUACAUGCAAGUCGAGCGAACGGACGAGAAGCUUGCUUCUCUGAUGUUAGCGGCGGACGGGUGAGUAACACGUGGAUAACCUACCUAUAAGACUGGGAUAACUUCGGGAAACCGGAGCUAAUACAGGAUAAUAUUUUGAACCGCAUGGUUCAAAAGUGAAAGACGGUCUUGCUGUCACUUAUAGAUGGAUCCGCGCUGCAUUAGCUAGUUGGUAAGGUAACGGCUUACCAAGGCAACGAUGCAUAGCCGACCUGAGAGGGUGAUCGGCCACACUGGAACUGAGACACGGUCCAGA